GGUAAGGCAGGGUUAGGGUGUGCCAGUAUAGGAGCAGCAGCAAAGGCGACUUUGAGAGACUCAAAGGCAGAAAUGGCUUCCUGUGACCAAUGCUGUGGAUCAGCAUCUCUCCUGGUCAUAUCCGUGAGUGGUUUAACCAAGGAAGAAAAGUUGCGUAUGAACUUCCGAUAAUAAUUGGCGAAGCCAAGAAAACGCUGUAUAGAGCGAAGACCUGUAGGUCGAGGCCAUUUUAGUACAGCAGAAAGUUUUUCUGGGUCCAUAUAGAAUCCAGCAUCUGAGAUAACAUAGCCCAAGAAUGUGACCUGUUUGCAAUUGAACUCACAUUUCUCCAAUUAUUAUUUUCUCUAAGUCUCUGUAGAACAGUAGAAACAUCUGCAGAGAAACCCUGACACACCCUCACACAGACAGCACCCACACACAGCACACUAACAGGACCCUAACAAACACACAAAGCACACUACCAGCACCGUCACACACAGCACACUACCAGCACCCUCACACACACACAAACACCCUCACCCACAUAGGACACUACCAGCACCCUUACACACACAUCACACUAACAGC